AAACUAACAAGGAUUCCCCUAGUAGCGGCGAGCGAAGCGGGAAGAGCUCAAAUUUAUAAUCUGGCACCUUCGGUGUCCGAGUUGUAAUCUCUAGAAAUGUUUUCCGCGUUGGACCGCACACAAGUCUGUUGGAAUACAGCGGCAUAGUGGUGAGACCCCCGUAUAUGGUGCGGACGCCCAGCGCUUUGUGAUACAUUUUCGAAGAGUCGAGUUGUUUGGGAAUGCAGCUCAAAUUGGGUGGUAAAUUCCAUCUAAAGCUAAAUAUUGGCGAGAGACCGAUAGCGAACAAGUACCGUGAGGGAAAGAUGAAAAGCACUUUGGAAAGAGAGUUAACAGUACGUGAAAUUGUUGGAAGGGAAACGCUUGAAGUCAGACUUGCUUGCCGAGCAAUCGGUUUGCAGGCCAGCAUCAGUUUUCCGGGAUGGAUAAUGGUAGAGAGAAGGUAGCAGUUUCGGCUGUGUUAUAGCUCUCUACUGGAUACAUCUUGGGGGACUGAGGAACGCAGUGUGCCUUUGGCGGGGUUUCGACCUCUUCACACUUAGGAUGCUGGUGGAAUGGCUUUAAACGAC
rnacentral:rRNA from 1 species